UACGGAGGGUGCAAGCGUUGUUCGGAAUUACUGGGCGUAAAGCGCGUGUAGGCGGUUGGGCAAGUCAGAUGUGAAAGCCUUUCGCUUAACGGAAGAAUGGCAUUUGAAACUACCCAGCUGGAGUUCGGGAGAGGAGAGUGGAAUUCCCGGUGUAGAGGUGAAAUUCGUAGAUAUCGGGAGGAACACCGGUGGCGAAGGCGGCUCUCUGGCCCGAUACUGACGCUGAGACGCGAAAGCGUGGGGAGCAAACAGG
rnacentral:rRNA from 1 species